rnacentral:lncRNA from 1 species
GCAGUUUGCGGACCCAAGGGCCAGGCGGCGACUGUUUCCUCGGCACAGCACAAAGACGGCUCGUGAAGAGAGGUGCGGGCAGGUAGCUGAAGUCUGGGGGAGGGCGGUGCUGGCGGCUUCAAGAGCCUCUGCACACGCCCCUCCAACGAACAGCCAAAUGUCUGGAAAAUAAAAGGAUGACCAGUGGAGAAAGAAACGUAACCAAUAAGAGAUAUGUGAGGAGAUUUAUUAUGAUAAACUGCUCACAGAUUAUGGACCCUGAGAAGACCCACAGUCUACCACCUGCAAGUUGGAGACUCAGGAAAGCCAGCGGUGUCAUUCCACUCUGAGUUUGAAAGCCUGAGAAUCAGGGCAGCUGAUGUAUAAAUCCUAGUCUGAAGACAAGGGAAGACCAAUAUCCAGCUCAGGGAGCAGACAGAAAGCAAAAGGGGGUUCACAGCCAGUCCAGGACAGGCUCCACAUGUCAGGCGUGGACGAAGUUGUGCAGAAGUGUAAUUACGUCGUGGUCAAUGCAGUGUUCGCUUUUGUAAGUCAGCGCAAAACAUGCCACAGACACAUUCUGUGAAUAACGUUCUGUGGCUAAAAUUCCUUGUAAUGAAAAGACAAAGUUAUAUGAAAUAGAAUGACACUUGCUACUCCAGUUAACUCCACUCUGUACCUGGGGGUUCUGACUCCAUAUGUGGUUUUGGCGGUGUGUUGCUGUGCUAGAUCCUUCCACAUUCAACAAGUGGCAGACUAUGUAAAAGGUAAGAGUCCCCAGGGCAAAGUCACUGAGCCAUGAUAUCUGUAAUUUAUACUGGGGCAUCUGAAACCUGUAUGAGAAUUUUCAAGAAACCCAUAGGAAUGGGAAUAUCACAUACAAAUUGAGCACAAUGAGAAACUUUUUAAUAGGGUCCAAGGGAGAACAAAAGAGGUAGAUCUCCACAGCCUCGGAAGAGUCAACAGCAGUGGAAAGAAGGCAAGUUUUUCCCAGAGUCCUCAUGUGGAGCACCUGUGCCCUUUCUUUCCAUCUGAUCUCCUAACACAGAGAAGCACAACCUCAGAGAAUACAGCUUGUCCCCCACGGACUUGUUCCUGGCCCCUGAAGUUGUCCUCAUAGGGGGUCCCUGGGCUCCAUCUGCAGCUAUUCUGCCAACCCCCUUCCUACAAUCAAGCUCCCCAGGCACAAUCUUGGUCAGGAACAACUUAAGGAAAUUGAGCCUGGAAUUCAGUGUCUGCUUUAGUUCUGAUACUCAGGCUUGUUCCAUCCCUAUUCAUUGGUCUUAGAACUGCCUCCCUGCUGUAUUUCUUCUCCUUGUUUUGGUGAUUUAUCUCUUAAGGGUCCUUCAAGAACUAAAGCUCACCUCGUUACUAUUUUCAGCCUCCAGGCCUCUUUUGGACCUCAGAUGAAGGGCUGGGACUGUCAGUCCCUGACAGUUUCUGGAUUCUUCAGCAUUAUGCCCCAAAGCUGGCAGCCUUCUGGUUGGACUACAGCCAGGUCAGAUACAGACUUCCUUUGCUGUUAGGCUUGGCCUAUACCCCUAUUGCCUGCCUGCCGCCGCCGUAUAGGCAGAAGCAGCUCCCAAAUCUUCCCUUUCCCAUCCAUCCUGCCUUCUUCAGGUUAACUAGGUCAUUUCAGACAGUGUCCCAAGGUAGGAAGGCUUGAGCUCAAGAGGCUAACUUCUUCCUGCUGAGUGCUAACUGCAGCUAGAAGAGUAAUUCCUAUAGCUCUGUAUCAAGAUGCUUCUUCUUUUGUGACUGCCAUGCUCUUCAGGCUUUAUUUAGGACUGUUAAUGUCAUGUACGCUAUUUACUGGUCAAAUUAAGACUAUUAUUAUAGAGUCACUGAAAGUCUUGAUUUUAAAGAUAACUUCAUGUUUUAGGAAAAUAAUCAUGAUUUAAUGUUUGGGGGGCAAGCAGGAUACAGAACUAUGUCAAGCUGUGUGAGCUCAUUGUGGCAGACAUCAUGUGGGAUUUGGGCUGCUCAGUAUCUAAACUCCCUUCCCAGGUUUAAGGAAUUUCCCACCAUGUGAUUCUACAUGUGCAGUGAAGGCCCCCUACCUUUAGAGAAGCAAAGAAUUAAGAGGCCUUUCUGUCACUGCUCCCUGACAGCUGGGGCAGGCAUGUGGCCUUGACUCAAUUAAGCACCCACCCAGACUUGGAAUUGGGGACCAGCGAUUCACAGAAGCAAGGACUAUGGAAACUCCAUCCUAUCAGUGAAGGUGACACAGUUACCAGGGCAGCAGGGCUGUCAGGGCCAGCAGAACCAGCAUUGUAUCUGGCCUCUGGUUCUGUUUCAGUUAUUGUAUUUUGCAUCUCUUCUUGCUUAAGUUUUAUAUUUUGUAUCUCUUUGCUCAGUGUUUCCUGUAAAUUAUCCGUCUUUGCCUCCAGUUUAUUUCUAAUGUCUUGCAUCAUCUUCUGCAUCAACAGUCUAAAGUCUUUUUCCUGGAGGCUGAGAAUCUUCUAAUCACUUAGCUGUUUUUCUGGGAUUUUUUUUCUUUCUCCCUUCUCUGACUUAUAGUUCUCUGUCUUUUCAUUUUUAUAGGUUUUUGGUCUGGUGACUUUUUUUACAGAUAAUAGAGUUGUAGCCUCUCUUAAUUCUGGCAUCCGCCCCCCUUGUGGCUGAAGUUGGUAUAGGGGCUUGCUGUAGGCUUCCUAAUGGGAGGGACUGAUGCCUGUCCGCUGGUAGGUGGUGCUGAUUCCUAUCCCUCUGGUGGGUGGGGCUUUGUCUCUGGGUGAGAUUAGAGGCACUGGAGUGCCUGGGGGGUCUUUAGGCAGCCUGUUUACUGAUGGGCAGGGCUGUGAUCCCACCUGGACUGUUGUUUGGCCUGAGGCUUCUCAGCCUGAUGGGUGGAGCCAGAUUUUCCCAAAAUGGCCACCUCUCGAUGUGGCCUCCUCUUUGUCUUCUGGAGUAGGAUAUCUUGUUGAAAGUUUCCAGUCCAUUUGGUUGAAGGUUGUUCAGCAUUUGGUUGUAAAUUUUGUUGUUUUUAGGAGAGAAGUUGAGCUCCAGUCCUACUAUUCUGCCAUCUUAAUCCCAUCUCCUCUGGUUCUGUUUUUUUAAAACCCUCCUUUGUCAUUUUUACUCUUUUUCAGGACUGGUUCUCUAGGCUUUCCUGUGAAUUUCUGAACUAACAAAUAUCUUUUCAGUAAAUUCCUUUCUUCUUAAAGGAGUAACAGCUUUUUCUGUUCAUUGCAGCUAAGAAUUCUGACAAGUGUACCAAUGCUUUUUAAAAUGCAAAGAGAAAAGACUUGAUGUACACUCAUUGUUAAUGAUGGUUAUCUUUAGGUGUAUAGAAUCACAGAUCAUUUUAGUUUUCUUCUUUUUUCCUGGGAACAUUUCCUAAAAAUUUCAGUAAAGUGGUAUUACCUUAGCAGUCAAGAAAGAGCUAAGUUUUAAAAUUGGAGAUUUCCUUGGAUCUCUGAAGUCCUUAAUUGUUGGAAAACAAUUACCUUGAUUAAUCAAGUGGAAUUUUAUUUUGGCACCUGUGACUUCAGUUUUGGCUUGGGCAAGUCAUAGGUAUUGGGGUAAGAGAAAUGCCAAUAUAUUUUGUGAAAAAAAAAAAAACCCCCGAGACCAGUUCUUACCUCGCAAUCCUGGUCUACUUAUAUUUUUUAUUUGUUUUAGAACUCUAUAGUCCUUUGAUGGGAGGCCUGAGAAUAUUGGACUAUUUUUAGAGAACUUUAACCCAAUUCCAAGCAAUAAGGAGUUUCUUAACACUAAUGUUUAUAAAUGUGUAUAAGCACAGGAACACUGCUCGUAUGAUUCUUUGUUGGUUUCUCCUAAGUAGCUAUCCCAACAGUUUUGUGAAUACUGUAAAUAAUAGUCUAAAAAUACCAGGAUAUUGAACCUACCAGUAAUUCGUGCAGUUGGCUGAGCAGCUACCAGCAAUGGUGUGAGUAACACAGUGGAAACUGUAUAAUGGUGUCCUUCGUUAGAACUAAAUCCCAGCUAUCAAGAGAAAACAAAGAUCACCAUUGAUAGGAAGCAGUGGUCGUCUUGUUUCUAUAAGAGCCUGGGGAGUUUUCAGUAUCCCCGCCUCCCUCUAGGAGAUUGCCUGCUUUUGACCAUGGGUGAGAGAUCAAAGUUACAUGGGAUGAGAGUCUCUUGCCCCUCCAUCAACACUGCUGAGACAGCAGUCAAGGGAACUCUGAAUCUGAUCCAGUUGUGAUCACUGAGUUGCUGCAGCCCUCAGAGUGUGGGGACCCUAUUGAUCAUGCCAAAUGAAGCAUCAAAGCACAGUAAAAUGGAAGAAGCAUAGCAUUUAGUCCAAUGGACUUGGUGUUAGAGCCCAGUCCAAAUAGCCACCAGCUGAUCACAUGAGGCUUUCUGAGCCUCGGUUUCACUACAGAAUGUAGAUAAAAGAAACACCUCAUAGUAUCAAAGGAAAUAGCCCAUGUAAAACUCUGAGUACAGUUUCUGGCUUAUAAUGGGUACUCAGUAAAUGGGACUUCUCUUCCAUCCAUGAGCUCUGCUCCCUUUAUUUUUCUGGGAAAUCCUUUAUCUUUUAGAAAGAGUGACUUCAGAUGCAAUUUUUGCAGAGAUAGUUAUUUUUUCCCAACCUCUCAAAUCUAGUAAAAUGCUAAAAUUACCUUCUAAUUAUUUUCUGGAAAGAGGUGCCUUGCCUGAACCAUGAAAAAUUAUCAAAAAAGGGAAACAUUCGUAGCUCAAUGAAUGAUCUGUGUCAAUAUUGCGUGUGACAAAUAUAUCAUCAUUUAACAUGUAGGAAUCAGCAUUAAAGUGCAGGGAAAAGGUAUUAGAGCAAGCCCAUGAGGUUGAAUAGUGCAACAAAAAAAGAUUGACAUUUGCUUAGUGAGGAUGCCAAGCUUGAGUGAUAAUCAACACUUUCUUCUGCUUGUUGAAUAAGAGGAAUACUCCGUAUUGAGCAAAAUGCCUUCAUAAACUGCUUGGGUGUAGCUAAUUUAUUUGGACAUUAAGAUAUAGUUUUCCCAUAUCCUUCCAAAUAGCAUUUUUGUUGCCAAUAUGUAAAUGGGUCUCCAGUCUCUCAGAAGGUGACACAAGAAAAGAAGUGCAGAAAAGAAGGAAAAUCAAACUAGAAAAGAAAAGAAGCCCUGUCCAAAAAAAUCAAUAAUUUUGCUACUGAGAAAUUGCUACCAUCCUUAUUCAGGAAGGGGUGGAAAGAUCAGACCAAGCUAACUUGUGUGAUAAAUGAGUUUAUAAAGUAGCCUGUACCAGGAGACUAAUUUAAUUGGCUGCUUAAAGUCUGAUAAUAUACCAUGCUACUACAAAUUUUUUCCUUUAUUUUAAUCUUCAAUUUAAGCUGAGUAUAAGGCACACCAUGUCUGCCUAAUGGGACAAGGAACACCAAUUGCUGCUGGGGGCAUACAACCACCUGUGGUAGGAAUUCCCUUUUGGCACAGAAAGUUAAGGAUCCAGCAUUGUCACUGCAGUGGCUUGGGUCACUUCUGUGGUGUGGCUUCGAUUCCUGGCCUGGGAACUUCCAUAUGCCAUGGUG